rnacentral:rRNA from 1 species
AAUAUUCCGCAAUGGGGGGAACCCUGACGGAGCAAUGCCGCGUGAGGGACGAAGGCCUUCGGGUUGUAAACCUUUGUUUUAUGGGAAGAUAAUGACGGUACCAUAAGAGAAAGCUCUGGCUAACUACGUUCCAGCAGCCGCGGUAAUACGUAGGGGGCGAGCGUUGUCCGGAAUUACUGGGCGUGAAGGGUACGUAGGCGGCUAUAUAAGUCAGGUGUGAAAUACCAGUGCUUAACACUGGAAUUGCAUUUGAAACUGUGUAGCUUGAGUGCAGGAGAGGAAAGUGGAAUUCCUAGUGUAGCGGUGAAAUGCGUAGAGAUUAGGAGGAACACCAGUGGCGAAGGCGACUUUCUGGACUGUAACUGACGCUGAGGUACGAAAGCGUGGGUAGCGAACA